AUCCAGCUGACGAGUCCCAAAUAGGACGAAAGGUGCGUCCUGGAU
rfam:Schistosoma haematobium scaffold614_19, whole genome shotgun sequence.